GAUUAACGCUAGCGGCAGGCCUAAUACAUGCAAGUCGAGGGGCAGCAGGGUGUAGCAAUACAUCGCUGGCGACCGGCGCACGGGUGCGUAACACGUAUGCAACCUACCUUUAACUGGGGAAUAGCCCUCCGAAAGGAGGAUUAACACCGCAUAACAUCACGAGACGGCAUCGCCUUGUGAUCAAACCUCCGGGGGUUAAAGAUGGGCAUGCGUCCGAUUAGCUAGUUGGCGGGGUAACGGCCCACCAAGGCGACGAUCGGUAGGGGGUCUGAGAGGAUGAUCCCCCACACUGGUACUGAGACACGGACCAGACUCCUACGGGAGGCAGCAGUAAGGAAUAUUGGACAAUGGUCGCAAGACUGAUCCAGCCAUGCCGCGUGCAGGAUGAACGAUCUAUGAUCUGUAAACUGCUUUUGUUCGGAAUAAACCCCUUCACGUGUGGAGGGCUGAAUGUACCGAAAGAAUAAGGGUCGGCUAACUUCGUGCCAGCAGCCGCGGUAAA
rnacentral:rRNA from 1 species